rnacentral:tRNA from 1 species
GGGUGGCUUCACUGGUGCAAUCUGCAGGCUUCAAAACUGC